rnacentral:rRNA from 1 species
UACGUAGGUGACAAGCGUUGUCCGGAUUUACUGGGCGUAAAGAGCGCGCAGGCGGUCGAUCAAGUCGAGUGUGAAAGCCCCCGGCUCAACUGGGGAGGGUCAUUCGAUACUGAUCGACUCGAAGGCAGGAGAGGGUAGUGGAAUUCCCGGUGUAGUGGUUAAAUGCGUAGAUAUCGGGAGGAACACCAGUGGCGAAGGCGACUGCCUGGCCUGUUCUUGACGCUGAGGCGCGAAAGCUAGGGGAGCAAACGGG